UACGUAGGCAGCGAGCGUUGUUCGGAGUUACUGGGCGUAAAGCGUGCGUAGGCGGUUGUCUAAGUUUGGUGUGAAAUCUCCUGGCUUAACUGGGAGGGUGCGCCGAAAACUGGGUGACUGGAGUGUCGGAGAGGUAAGCGGAAUUCCUGGUGUAGCGGUGAAAUGCGUAGAGAUCAGGAGGAACACCUGUGGUGUAGACAGCUUACUGGACGAUAAUUGACGCUGAGGCACGAAAGCGUGGGUAGCAAACAGG
rnacentral:rRNA from 1 species